rnacentral:rRNA from 1 species
AUACGUAGGUGCCAAGCGUUAUCCGGAUUUACUGGGCGUAAAGGGCGUGUAGGCGGUCUUGCAAGUCAGAAGUGAAAUUCCUGAGCUCAACUCGGGCGCUGCUUCUGAAACUGCAGGACUUGAGUGCUGGAGGGGAUAGCGGAAUUCCUAGUGGAGCGGUAAAAUGCGCAGAUAUUAGGAAGAACACCGGUGGCGAAGGCGGCUAUCUGGACAGUAACUGACGCUGGGGCGCGAGAGCGUGGGGAGCAAACAGGAUUAGAUCCCCUGGUAGUCCACGCUGUAAACGAUGAAUACUAGGUGUAGGGGGUAUCGACUCCCUCUGUGCCGCAGUUAACACAAUAAGUAUUCCGCCUGGGGAGUACGGCCGCAAGGUUGAAACUCAAAGGAAUUGGCGGGG